rnacentral:lncRNA from 10 species
UCAGUGUCAGAAAGCUAGUUGACAUGGAAGCCUGAAAAAUGCAGCUUGCCAGGAUGCCUCCUCCCUUCCACUCCUCUCUUCAAUUCAGAGGGGAGAAGUGAGAAGGAUCCAUCUGGGUUCUUGCUUUUGUGAAACUAACUACAAAGGUGAAGAACAGAAAUAUACCCUCAGGAUACAUUGGAGUGCAGGGAACAAGACUGACAAGCAGAGCUCAGAGAAAAAAUAUAAGAAGGAACAUGAAGAGCUGGAAAUGAGGAGUGAUAUCAGAAAGAUGGCAGCAUAGGAGCUUUCUACCAUCAUCCCCCAUGGAAGCAUUGAUUUUGACAACUACCACAGAUGAGUGUACAUUUGUGGGAGUCAGGGAAUACAGUGAAGAAGUUCCAGAACACCAUUAGAGAAAAAAAUCUGAGAAUAGUCACACUGAGGAGUAUAAGAAGAAGAGUUUUACUUUACCCAUGUCACUCCUCCCCCAAGGCAGCAGAGUUCAGUGCUGAAAGACACCAUCCUCAGCACACAAUUUCUCCAACAGGAAAAUAAGAGCAUACUGAGUUAGUGUCCUGCUCCCCUAGCUACACAGGAUGCUGUCCAAGAGGCCCACUAUCAUCCCACCCAGAACACUGAGGUGAUUGGCACAACCGAGUGGUUGGAAGACACCAGGAGCAGGGAGAAGAGGUCACAGAUUCUACUAAUCACUCUGCAGACUUUAUCAGGAAGCCUUCCCAUGAGCCACUUGGGAAUUUUUGACUUUUAAACACCUCCCAACUGGUCCACAGACACUCUAAACACCCCGUGGCUCACCAUCCACACCAGGCUAGCUCCCCAGCACACCUUCACAGAUAGCAAUUCAAGCAUCUUGUGCAGACAGCCAUCUGGACUCUGCAGAUUAGGAGAAGGCACUCAAACUUGAACAUUUCAGAGCACUGCCAUAGGGAAAACAAGCAGGAGGCUCUUAGCACCCAGCCUGGCUUUGCAGGAUUGAAAGAAGGCAAAAAUAUCUCAAGAAUGUGCAUAUUAGAGGGAACAAGAGAUGUGGAGCAGAUGCAGCCACAGAAAAGUUCAGAGAGAGCCUCAGAAUCACUAGCCAUGCUUUUCGGUGAAAAAAUUUCUCUCCUGAAGAUAGUCAGUAAAGACUGAAGGAGGUGACUGUUUCUUCAAAUCAAAGACAACAAUGCAAAACUUCAAGGAACACACUUAAAAAAAUCAAGUAAACAUGAAACCAACAAGGGAGCACAAUACUAUGCUAGUAACCAACCCCAAAUAAAUGAACAACUAUGAAUUGCCUGACAAAUAAUUUAAAAUAACAAUUUUGAGGAAGAUCAACAAACAGCAGGAGAACACAGAUAGGCAACUCAAUGAAAUCUGAAAAACAAACCGUGAACAAAAUUAUAAGUUCAAUAAAGAAAAAUUAUUUUUUUAAAAAAUUCUGAAGCUAAGAAUACAAUGAAUGAAUUAAAGAAGGCAAUAGAGUAUGUCAACAGCAGACUUCAUAAAGCAGAAGAAAAUCUAUGAAAUUAAAGAAAGAUCAUUUGAAAAUAUCCAAUCAGGGGAGAAAAAAGAAUGAAAAGGAAUGAAGAAUAUCUAUGGGAUUUAUUGAUGGUGUUAUCAGGAGAGCUAAUAUUUGCAUUAUAAUAUACCAGAAGGAAGGGAGAGAGAAAAAGGAGCACAAGCUUAUUUAAAGAAACAAUGGCUGAAAACUUUCUAAAUCUGGAGGGAAAUAUGGACAUUUAGGUAUAUGAAGUUCAAAAGUCUACAAUCAGAUUCAACCCAAGAAAGACUUCACCAAGACAUAAUAUAAUCAAACAGUCAAAAUCAAAGACAAAGAGAAAAUUGUGAAAGCAGCAAGAAAAAAGAGGUUUCUCACAUAUAAGAGAACCACCAUAAGACUAUGACCAGAUUUCUCAGUAGAAACUUUGCAAGCCUGGAGGGUGUGAGAUGAUAUAGCCUAAGUGCUGAAAGAAAAAAUAAAUAAAUAAAUGAACUGUCAACUAAGAAAACUUUAACCAGCAAAUCUGUUUUAUAAAAACGAAAGAAAGAAAAAGACUUUCCUAGACAAAGCUGAGAGAGUUCAUCACCACUAAACCUAACAAGAAAUGCUAAAGGGAGAUUUUCAAGCUGAAAUAAAAGGAUACUAAUUAAAAUAUGAGAGUAUACAACUCACUGGUAAAAGUCAUUGUUGAGAGACAAAAUGAGAUCAUGUCUGGGAAAAUACUUCUAAAUUAUCAACUCCCUUUCUAUGGAAGAGGAUGACCAAAGAAGGAUGCACUCCUUGUCUGGAAUUAUGCCAGAGGUCUUAAAAUGCUCAGAAAUGAAAUCAGCCUUCUUCCCUGUCCUAAGAGGCUCAGGUUUUCGGCAAGUAACUCAUAAAAUUAAUGCUCCACUGAAAAUAAAAUCUGAUUUGAGUAGUAUCAGCACUUAGAAGACCUUUGGAGGCCGGGGGUAUUUUCUCUUUUACAAUGCUGUGAACAACAUUCACUCCUGGAAAACACUCCAAUGUCUUACAUCUUGAGGCUGUGGGGAUUUUUUUUUCUUUUGGUUUAAAUGUUGCCUUUCCUAUCUUUCUGCAUAUCAAUUUUUCCCCUGCCCAAGUCACAGGCUUGGUAGUAACCAUCAUGUUUACUGCUGUUCCUUCACAUGUGGUUCUCUGAGGCUUCUGAGCACCAGAAUUUUAUUAAACAGAGCUACUCACACCAUAAAGAUGGAAUUCUGCCAGAUCUGAAUCAUAGAAUAACACCAGAAUUGACUUCAGAAAUCAUCUUCUCUAAAGAUUUGCAAGAUUUUUAAACAGCACAUGCCUUUGUAAAAUGAAAUCAUCAGUGGAACACCGUAUAUAAAAUAAAAUUAAUAAAAACUACUAUGGCUGGAGAGGUGAAACUCUAACAUAUUACACAGUCUCCUGGGUUUUUUUGCAGAUAUUAAGGAUCCACUGAACCAUUUGAAAACUACCCUAUAUACUCCCCCUUUCCAGUGCUUCAGUCCCUUCUAUAGUAAUCACCACUGGAUUGUUCAGUCUUUCAAUAUUUUCAGUGGUGCCUAUCCUCCCAAGAAAGGCCAUCUUAAUUUGGGACAGCUUUAACUGUCUAUUUGGAAAAUCAUUCUUAUAUUUUAAUGGUCUCCUUGUAACCUCUAUUUAUUGUUACUAGAACAGAACUAGACUGUGCUCUAUUCCAUCUAAGUAUUGGGGUCAAUGAUCAUAUUCCUCCACAAACUUAUAGUUUUUUUACAAACUAAAUAUCCCCUGAUUUUUUCAACUUUAUCACAGUGUGAGAAUAUGUGGGCCUAAUCUCUUUAUUCUAAUUUCUUUCCUUUGAACUUGCUUCACUUUGUCAAUGUCAGUUUUAAUUUGUGUGCCUAGAACUGUAAAAAGUAAUCCCUAUGUUGACUGUAAUCAUCAACUCUUUCACUUUGAACAUUCUACCCCUGUUAAUUUGGCCUAUAAUUGAAUUUGAUUUGGGGAAAACUUGUCGGAGCUUAGCCAACUAAAUCCCCAAUAUCAUCCUUGAAUAUGCUACUGCAGAACCAAAUCUCCCAUAUUACAAACUUUUAAAAUUGUUUUAAUGACUUCAUGUGGUCAUUUUCCUUUGCCAUGGCUUUUAAAGUCACAUGGUUCUAUUAGAAAGAUUUCUAGGUCUCUUGUCAUUUCUAGAAUCUGGUUUGUUGGAUUUGGCAAAUCAAUAUCUGUAUAUUUGUUCACUUUUUAUUCUGUCAAUCGCAAACAUGCCAUCUGCUUAAUAAUUUCCCACAGAUCUUUAUUGAUAUAUAUUUUGUUGGGAAAGAAUUUAUCAUUUUAGAUCCAGAAUAUGUAAUCAUAGCUGUCCAUUUAUAUCUGACCAUAAAGAACUUUCCUACUAUAGAAUUUUUGAGAUUUGGUGAGGGCUAACUAGAAGGCUGAAAGGAUAGGAAAGCUGCUGAGUUUAUUUGGUUACACACCAAUGGUCCUGUAAGUCUGUAAUUUCAAAAAUCUACCCGAAAACAAGGGAUUGUAUCCACUGUUAAAUGGAUGAAGUUUUAAGCAUCAGAAAAUCAGUCUGAAUUUUCAUUAUUCCCUAGAAAUUUUCUCAACUUUGUGAGUUUCAUCCAGGUACUUUGCCGUUCUUGAACAUAUUUUCAUGUGGUUUUAUAAUAUUUAUUCAACAUUAUUUUCCAUUAGUUCUCUAAUUUUAAUUGUUGGUAAGCAUUUCGAUGUGUAGCUAUUACAUGGUGCAGAACUGAUUUAUCCACGUUAAUGUCUGAGGAGACCAUGACCCAUUUUAUCUGCUGCGUGGUCAGCCCUGGUAUUCAUGGCAGGUUGUCUGAAUAUUUCUGAUGAAGUCUUUAAGUACAUGUAAUUCUGAAAACACAUUCCCAUUCAGUAAGACUUAUACAGGAUGGUAAGCCUAACAUGGCAAAAGGUUUCUAAAAAAUUCCAUAAACAUUAAGCAUAUUUAUGUCAUAGCAUUAAGUUUGGUCAAUUUGAAACUUACCGUAUUGUAGUAUAAGAGGCAUUUUGUUUGCUUGUGUUUACUUUCCCAG